AGUAAUUGCGACUUACUUGUUACAGCAGAAGCUUCAAGAAUUUACACUCAUUGGAAUAAUAAAAUAGAAGUAAGCAACCGUGCAUUAAAAAGCUAUGAAAAGAUGAAGAGAAUAUGCCUUCAAAUGGGAAGGAAUACUUAACUGUGAAUAAGACCUAGUUCAACAUGGAACUUCCUGGUGGCCAAGUCAGAAGAGAAGCACAGAACAAAAACGGAGGCACAGAGAGGUCAAUUGAUUGGUCUAAUGACACAGAUCUAGCAAGUGGUGGAACCAGGACUGAAUCCAGGUGUGUGUCCGGAAUUGGUGGGUUCUUGGUCUCACUGACUUCAAGAAUGAAGCCGCGGACCCUUGCGGAACUGUGAAGACUAGAGUGACCUUGGAGAUCUCAUCUGGAAGAUGGUAGAACUGCUAUCAGCCUGGCUUCCCAAAUGACCUCCUGGAUCACAGCUACCCAUGGCCUGAAAUGUUGACCUUGGAGUUGUUGCAUAGGAAAGAAAUAAACUUCUUUGUUCUUUGAGCCA
rnacentral:lncRNA from 10 species